UACGGAGGAUCCGAGCGUUAUCCGGAUUUAUUGGGUUUAAAGGGUGCGCAGGCGGGAGAUUAAGUCGGCGGUGAAAUUUUGCAGCUCAACUGUAAAAGUGCCUUCGAAACUGGUUUCCUUGAGUGUAGAUGAAGUAGGCGGAAUUUGUGGUGUAGCGGUGAAAUGCAUAGAUAUCACGAGGAACUCCGAUUGCGCAGGCAGCUUACUAAACUACUACUGACGCUCAGGCACGAAGGCAUGGGGAUCAAACAGGAUUAGAUACCCCCGUA
rnacentral:rRNA from 1 species